rnacentral:rRNA from 1 species
AUUGAACGCUGGCGGCAGGCCUAACACAUGCAAGUCGGACGGUAGCACAGAGGAGCUUGCUCCUUGGGUGACGAGUGGCGGACGGGUGAGUAAUGUCUGGGGAUCUGCCCGAUAGAGGGGGAUAACAACUGGAAACGGUGGCUAAUACCGCAUAACGUCGCAAGACCAAAGAGGGGGACCUUCGGGCCUCUCACUAUAGGAUGAAGCCAAGUGGGAGUAGCUAGUAGGAGGGGUAAUGGCCCACCUAGGCGACGCUCCCUAGGUGGCCUGCGAGGAUGACCAGCCACACUGAAAUUGAUACACGGUCCAGACUCUUACGGGCGUCAGCAGUGGUGAAGUUUGCACAAUGGGCGCAAGCCUGUUGCGGCCAUGACGCGUGUAUGAAGAAGGCCUUCGGGUUGUAAAGUACUUUCAGCGGUGAGGAAGGCGGUGAGGUUAAUAACCUCGCCGAUUGACGUUACCCGCAGAAGAAGCACCGGCUAACUCCGUGCCAGCCGCCGCCGUAA